AUUUUUUCUCCCGGUUUGGGGGAGUUUUUCCACGUUAAAUCGUGUGUCCUGUUUUCUUUCUGUUCAAAUUAUCCUGUUAUUUUGACAUUUCAAAAGGAAACCCGAUCUUUGGGUAAUAAAGUAGAAAGGGGUUAAUUUUCCGUUGAGGGGUUAUUAUCCCUACAAGUGGUAUCAGAGUUGAGGCCAGGGCUUCGAUACAGUGGAGCUUGUUAUGGUGGAGCUUGGUUGGCAAGGGAAAUGUCAGGAAAUAAUUGUUCAAGUGGUAAAGCUUGAGGUGGAGAAAUUUGACGGAGGUAUUUUUAUUUGCUGUUCGUGCAGAUAGGGUGGACACGGAAAAAGAAAGGUGGAGCGGGUUCGGCUAAAUGCUCCAAUGUUUGAUUGGUGUUGCCGGCAUAUGGUGACUGAAUCAUGUUUACACACGGACAUGGCGGUGAUGCAAGGUGCAAGGUGUGUGAUGAUGUCGAUGGCUGAUGGACUUCCGGGUUGGUCAAACAGGGGAAGUAAC
rnacentral:lncRNA from 1 species